rnacentral:rRNA from 1 species
GAUGAACGCUGGCGGCGUGCUUAACACAUGCAAGUCGAACGGGAUCCAGGGAGUGCUUGCCCUUUUUGGUGAGAGUGGCGAACGGGUGAGUAACACGUGAGUAACCUGUCCUUUUCUUUGGGAUAAGCUCCUGAAAGGGUGUUUAAUACCUUAUGUUCUGUCUGCCUCGCAUGGGGUGGGUGGGAAAGAUUUGUUUCGGUAAGGGGUGGGCUCGCGGUCUAUCAGCUUGUUGGUGGGGUGAUGGCUUACCAAGGCUUUGACGGGUAGCCGGCCUGAGAGGGUGGUCGGUCACAGUGGGCCUGAGAUACGGCCCAGACUCCUGCGGGAGGCAGCAGUGGGGGAUAUUGCACAAGGGGCGCAAGCCUGAUGCAGCGACGCCGCGUGGGGGAUGAAGGCCUUCGGGUUGUAAACUUCUUGUGCUCUGAACAAGGCGCAUCUUUGGGGUGUGUGGAGUGUAGGGGUUGAUUAGCGCCGGCUAACUACGUG